CCUACGGGAGGCAGCAGUGGGGAAUAUUGCGCAAUGGGCGGAAGCCUGACGCAGCGACGCCGCGUGGGGGAUGACGGCCUUCGGGUUGUAAACCUCUUUCGGCCCCGACGAAGCGUUUGUGACGGUAGGGGUAGAAGAAGCACCGGCCAACUACGUGCCAGCAGCCGCGGUAACACGUAGGGUGCGAGCGUUGUCCGGAAUUAUUGGGCGUAAAGAGCUCGUAGGCGGUGUGUCGCGUCGGCCGUGAAAACCUGUGGCUUAACUGUGGGCUUGCGGUCGAUACGGGCAUCACUGGAGUUCGGCAGGGGAGACUGGAAUUCCUGGUGUAGCGGUGAAAUGCGCAGAUAUCAGGAGGAACACCGGUGGCGAAGGCGGGUCUCUGGGCCGAUACUGACGCUGAGGAGCGAAAGCGUGGGGAGCGAACAGGAUUAGAUACCCCAGUAGUC
rnacentral:rRNA from 1 species